rnacentral:rRNA from 1 species
AUGUCGAGCUCCACUUCAGCCUCCCGCCCCUCGUGGACCCAUUAUGGUCCACUUCCCAUGGAGCGAUAUCCUGACUGCCCACGCAGCGCACCACUGAUAUGGUUGACUUCGAAGGAGGUCAAGAAUGGCAACUAUGGGCGCGAGUUCGUGAAAUGCGAGAGCAAGCCAGAGGGGCAGAUCGUGAAGAAAUGCACACAUUUUGAAUGGCUGGAUGACUACGUUAAACGGAUUCCAUUCAAUGGGGCCCAAACCCAGGAGCUCAACUUGCCAUCAGCACCAAUGAAUUUGGUCUCUGAAAGUGCUACUCUGACAAUUGGAGAUGCAUAUCUGAAGGGGGAAUUAAAGAAGGUGAACAAGAACUUGAAGUAG